UUUCUUUUUCUAUAUUUUCAGUAUUUAUUCAGACAUUGAUGAGGAAAUUACAACCAAAAAAUUAUGGAGUAGAAAAGUUGAAUAGUUACAUUACAGAAAUUGAACAGUGUGGAAUGAAAUACUAGGACAAAUAACAAAGACGUAUUCUGAAAAUAGAUGCAAUUACUUUCUCGCAUGAUAUAUCUGGAAAUAUGUUUAAGCGUUUGAUCAGACAUGGAGGGGAAAAUUGCAACAGAGAUAUUAUAGAGUGGAAGUAUUAAAUGGACACAGUGGAGAAAUUAUUCAAGCAAGAGCAGUAUUAAAUUAGAUAAGUUUGUCUUGCACGUCACAGACUUUAAAAACAAUGUAAUACCAGCAUAUUUCAAAUAAAUAGUUUAAUAGAAGUA